AUGUGACCUCUUGAUCAGUGACUGCACAGGUAGUGUGCGAGAAGCGUGUUUGAUCUGAAUCAUAUGAGACUUGCGUGUGGAGAUUUAAGUUGAGGUGCUUUGCAUAUGAUAUCUUUUGAAGAUACACACACGAUAUAUGAUGAGUAUUUCGAAAUUCUAUUGUCGCACGUGGCCUCACUGUCGUCGACUGCACAAGUAGUGUGGGAGGAGCGUGUUUGGCUGAAUCAGAUGACACUUGCGUGGGGAGAUUUUAGUCGAGGUGUCUGCAUUGUGGUUUCUUCGGCAGGGACAGACAGGAAUAUAUGGUUAGUACAUCGAAAUUAAAUUAUCUCCGGUUACCUCAUGGUCGGAGACUGCAUAGGUACUGUGGGAGGAGCGUAUUUGAUCUGAAUCAGAUGUGACUUGCGUGUGGAGAUUUAAGUGGAGGUUUUUUGGAAUCUAUUGUUAGUGCUUCGAAAUUAUAUUCUCUCCAGUUACCUUAUGCUCGGAGACUGCAUAGAUAGUGUGGGAGGAGCGUGUUUGAUCUGAAUCUUAUGUGACUUGCGUGUGGAGAUUUAAGUUGAGGUGCUUUGCAUAUGAUUUCUUUUGAAGAGACACACACGAUAUAUGAUGAGUAUUUCGAAAUUCCAUUGUCUCACAUGGCCUCACCAUCGUUGACUGCACAGGUAGUGUGGGAGGAGAGUGUUUCGCUGAAUCAGAUGAGACCCACGUGUGGAGAUUUAAGUUGAGGUGUCUUUCAUUUGAUUUUUUUUGAAGGGACAGACAGGAAUCUAUGGUUAGUACUUCGAAAUUAAAUUGUCUCCGGUUACCUCAUGGUCGGAGACUGCAUAGGUAGUUUGGGAGGAGCGUGUUUGAUGUGAAUCAGAAGAGACUUGCGUGUGGAUAUUUCAGUUAAGGUGUCACUCAUGUUUUCUUUUUUUUUGAAAAGGCAAACACAAUAUAUAAUGUGUACUUUGAAAUUCCAUUACCUCACGUGACUUCAUUGUCGGAGAGUGCGCAGGUAGUGUUGGAGAAGCGUGUUUGGCUGAAUUAAAUGAGACUUGCAUGUGAAGAUUUUAGUUGAGGUGUCUGCAUUGUGGUUUCUUUUCAAGGGCAGACAGAAAUAUAUGGUUAGUACAUCAAAAUUAAAUUAUCUGCGGUUACCUCAUGGUCAGAGACUGCACAGGUAGUGUGGCAGGAAGGUGUUUGUUCUGAAUCAGAUUAGGCUUGCGUGUGGUGAUUUACAUUGAGGUGUCUUGCAUAUGAUUUCUUUUGAAACGACAAAUACGAUAUAUGACGAGUGCUUCGAAAUUCCAUUGUGUCACGUGACCUCAUCGCCGGUGACUGCACAGGUAGUGUGCGAGAAGCCUGUUUGGUCUGAAUCAGAUGAGAGUUGAGGGUGGGGAUUUAAGUUGAGGUUUGUUGCAUGUGAUUCCUUUUGAAGGGACAGACACGAAGAUCUGGUUAGUACUUCAAAUUUAAGUUCUCUCCAUGAUCGUCGUGGUCGGUGACUGCACAGAGUGUGUGGGAGGAGCAUGUUUGAUGUGAACCAGAUGAUACUAGCGUGUGGAGAUUUAAUUUGAGGUUUCUUGCGUGAGGUUUGUUUUCAUUUGACAAACACGAAUAUGUUGUGAGUACUUCGGAAUUCCACUGUUUGCAGCUGACCUCACAGUUGCUGCCUUCACAGACAAUGUGGACAAAUCAUACUUGAUCCGAAUUUAGUCGAGGUUGGCAGGUGUAAUCGUAACUUGCGUUACUAAGCAUGUGACUUGAUUAACAGCUUCAUGAAUUUUUGUUUCGGAGUUAAAAUAUUUUAGUGUGCCAUUCAUUUAUUUCCUAUAGAUUGGAACUAGGUAAGUGCAUAAGAAAGAAAUUGCUUGUGUUGGUACUGUGUCAGAUUAAAUGUAGUUUUAUUGUUUGAGUAAUGGGGUCAAUGAAUUACAAUAUUUUGUUAUAAUAUGUGUGAAAGUUCUGUAUGACCACAUUACUGCUUUGCUGUUUCUUACUGCUUUAUACUCUUAGGGAUUUAGAGGACAUCCGGUGUAUGAUGGAACUAUACAGAUAGAUGGUAGACAGCCUGCAGUUAGUUUAAUGUCACGUGACCAUGUGAGGUUGUUAAAAUUUAAGCUCCUUCUAGAGGCUUAUGAAUAUCGUAGGUUGUUACAGUGUGCAGAUACACCACUGUGUGUAUUGAAAGCAUAAGUGUUGUGCAUUAGUGGAUACUAAUGUGGGUAAUUAGAUGUGAAACCUCAGGAUCUUCACACAUGAUAAGUUUACAGUCAGUAUAAUAAAAGUGAUAAUACUUGGCGAGCCUUAGUUGUGGCAAGAGGUGAUUUUCAUUUUGUGUAUUGUGUUAAGUGCCUGUUAAUUUUAUGGACGUUAUGAAGCUGCAACCAUAUUUAAUUUUAAAUAGCUUAACCAUAUGAGCUACAGAACUUUCUUUUAUGAUCUGUCAGAGUACAGUAACAGAAGCCAGAGUGAUCAGUAUUAAAUGUAGACUUCCAACAGUGUAAUGGUGAGUUCAUUGAAAUUGUGAACUUCAGUGUUUUGAGCAGUUUGGGGUAAAAGACAGUGCCUUUUCUUCCACCUUUAAUAGGCCAAUGGUGGUCAAUACUCAUUGAAAUACUGUGUUCUGGUUUCGUGGACAGAACAAUCACUGAUAUUCCUGAUAUUUCACAUAGGUUUGGAAAUGUAUAGCACAGUGUCUCAGAUUUCAUUUAGGUUUGGAAAUACAUAGCAAUAAGUCCAGCAGUAGUUGACACAAUCAAAAGCAAAGUUAUCACCACUUUUUCUGGGUUGAGCUCAGUAGAAACUGUGUUCUUGGACUCAACUGUUGAGGGACAAUGGAAGUGAAACAGUGUGAACAUCACAUGUCAUGUUAGACUAGUUAGUGUCGCAAUAUUGACUAUGUGUAAUAUCUUGAGCAUUUAUAAAGAAUAGUUGUAUUUGUGAGGACAGAGGUUGGGCGUGUGUUUUAACAAAGAAAAGAAAAUGUGUCAUUAUCAUCAUGUUGUGAUGUAAAACAUAGGGAGUGUUGUCUGGUGAGAUGUUAGAGGAAACUUUACUGAGGCUGCCUGUGCAGUCUCAAGCUGUUGCCAGCCUGAAUUAUCUUCUAUGCUUAGCAGAGCAGGAGUUUGGGGUCCAAAAUGUGUAUUGUUUCGCAGGUGUGGUAAGCAAUGGAUGUUUAAAUGUACUCCUGCUCCAACUUAACAGUAGUGGACUGGUCUGGGGAUCUGCCUUGCUACUUUCAUACUUCAGUACCUGCUCCACUAAUUUUGCUGUUGGUGAGGGUAUGGUAUAUUUCAUACUUAGUUCAGAUCUCACACUGAUCUGGUCCCAUUUAAGAAAUAUUGCAAGAAUGAGAGAGCAAGAUUAUAUAUAAUGUGUGUCUGUGUGUGUGUGUGUGUGUAGGAAAAUUCAGUAGGAACAAGUUGAAACAAUGCACCUCUGUCUUACACACAGUGCAUGUUUUGCAACCAGGCUUGCAAAUGCAUAAUUGAAGUUGAUAUUACAUACGAGUGAAGUGUAGAAUUAAGUUGAGGAUACUUGCGUGUGAUUUCUUUUAAACGGGUAAGCAGGUAUAAAUAAUGAUUUAAAAAUCCAUUGUUUUUGGUGAUGUUAAGGUAACUGGCUGCACAGACGGUGUGGACAGUGUGUGCUUGAUCCAAAUUCAGAUGAGUCUUGCAUGUGAUUUCUUUUGAAAAGACAAACACGAAUAUAUAAUGAGUACUUCGAAAUUCCAUUGCCUCCAGUGACCUCAUGGUCGGAGGCUGUACAGAUGGUGUAAGAGGAGCCUGUUUGAUCUGAAUCAGAUGAGGCUUGCGUGUGGAGAUUUAAGUUGAGGUUUCUUGCAUGUGAUUUCUUUUGAAGGGACUAACACGAAUAUAUGGUGAGUACUUCGAAAUUCUAUUGUGUCCACUGACCUCAUGGUCGGUGACUGCACAGAUAGUGAGGGAGGUGGGUGUUUGAUCUGAAUCAGAUGAGGCUUGCGUGUGAAGAUUUAAUUGAGGUUUCUUGCGUAUGAUUUCUUUUGAAGAGACAAAAACCAAAAUAUAGUGAGUACUACAAAAUUCCAUUUAAUUGAGGUUUCUUGCGUAUGAUUUCUUUUGAAGGGACAAAAACCAAUAUAUAGUGAGUGCUACAAAAUUCCAUUGUCUCGGGCGACCUCAUGGCCGGAGACUGUACAGAUAGUGUGGGAGGAGGUUGUUUAAUCUGAAUCAGAGAGACUUGGGUGUGGAGAUUUAAGUUGAGGUUCCUUGCAUGUGAUUUCCUUUGAAGGGACAGGCAGGAAUAUAUGGUUAGUACUUCGAAAUUCCAUUGUCUCCAGUGACCUCAUGGUCGGAGGCUGCACAGAUAGUGUGGGAGGAGCGUGUUUGAUCUGUUCAGAUGAGACUUGCGUGUGGAGAUUUAAGAUGAGAUUUAUUGCGUAUGUUUUCUUUUGAAGGGACAAACACGAUUGUAUGGCGAGUACUUCGAAAUUCCACUGUCUGUGGCAGCAUUCCUAAGCAUGUGACUUGAUUAACUGGUUCAGGAAUUUUUCUUUUGGGAUUGAAAUAUUUGACUGUGGCAUUCAUUUAUUUCCUGUAGACCAGUAGUAGGUAAGCACAUAAGAAACAAUUGGCCCUGGUUGGUACUGUAUCAGAGUAAAUGUACUUUUAUUAUUUGGGUAAUGGGGUAAUGAACUACAAAAUUUCGGGAGAAUGUGUGUGAAAGUUCUGUAUGACCACAUUUCUGUUUUGCUAUUUGUUACUGCUUCAAACUCUUAAGGAUUUUGAGGACAUCCAGUGUGUGGUGGAACUAUACAGAUAGAUGAUAGACAGCCUGCUAUUGUCUUAAUGUCACGUGAGCCAGUGAGGUUAUUAAAAUUGACGCUCCUUCUAGAGGCUUAUGAAUGUCGUAGGUUGUUACAGUGUGCAGAUACACCACUGUGUGUAUUGAAAGUGUAAGUGUUGUCCUUCAGUGGAUACCAAUGUGAGUAAUUAGAUGUGAAACCUCAGGAUCUUCACACAUAAGUUUACAGUCAGUAUAAUAAAAGUGAUAAUACUUGGCGAGCCUUAGUUGUGGCAAGAGGUAAUUUUCAUUUUGUGAAUUGUGUUAAGUGUCUGUUAAUUUUAUGGACGUUAUGAAGCUGCAACCAUAUUUAAUUUUAAAUACCUUAACCAUAUGAGCUACAGAACUUUCAUUUAUUAUCUGUCAGAGUACAGUAACAGAAGCCAGAGUGAUCAGUAUUUAAAUGGAGACUUCCAACAGUGUUAUGGUGAGUUUUUUGAAAUUGUUAACGUCAUUGGUUUGAGCAGGUUGGGGUAAAAGGCAGUUUCUUUACUUCCACUCACAAUAUGCCAAAAGCGAACAAUACACAGAGGUGUAAUGUGUUGUGGUGCAGCGGACAGAACAGUUAGUGAUGCAUCUCAGAUUUCUUAUGUUUUCGAAAAUAAAUAGCACAAAUACGAAAAGCUCGUUACUGGGUCAAAAUCAAGGUUACCAACACUUUUCCUAGAACAAGUUUAAUAGAGACAGUUUAGUGGGACCCACCUAUUGACGAACAUUGGCAGUGAAAGUGUGAACAUCACAUGACACAUUUGAAUUACACAGUGAAUGUCUACAUGAAAUAUCUUGAGCAUUUACAGAAUAUUAUUGUUUUUGUGGGGAUGCAGGCUGGGAGUGUGUUCCAUUAAAAAUGAAGUACAUCAUUCUUGAAAAUUUCUCAGGUAUUCAGCCAAGUAGCAUCAUCCAAAAGGCGCAAUAUUUCAGCAAGCUGACUUCUUGCCAUCUAAAGGAGUUCUUGGUGUUUCACCAAGAAUGCCUGAAGAUGGCAAGAAGUCGGCUUUCUGAAAUAUCGCGCCUUUUGAAUGAUGCUACCUGACUGAAUACCCGAGAAAUUUUCAAGAUUUCUGUAUACCGGGAAAACCUCAGAUCAUACAUCAUUCUUAUCAUAUUGUGACACACUGUGAAAGCAUCAGUUUUAAAAUGUCGAAGAAAACACUAGAUGUGAUGUGAUGUGAUGUGAUGUGAUUUGGUUUGCUCUUCAUGUGACAGUAUAUUGACUAGUUGUAACAGGAGACACAUUUUUUAGUCUUGUGGAAGUGUGUGAAAAAUAUUGGUUUUACCACAAGCAAGAAAACAUUGUGAAUGAAAUGUUGAUGACCCAAAUGUUUCAGUACACAAUAUAAUAUGAGUUAAUGUUAGCUUGAUGCAGAGGUACUGCCUCCUACUCUAUGAUGGACACAAAUUUAAUGUGUUGUGUAUCAGAGUAAAAAUUUCAGUGUGGUGAUUUUAAAGUGCAUUUCGUGUGGUGUGAUAGUGUGGUUACAAGCUGUGGCAGUUAAUAUGUAUUUGAGAUAAGGCUUCAAGAAUGUGAGCAGAACAUAUAGUAGCAUCUGCUAUAUACAUUUGACACUCACCUGUCAGAAGAAUGAGUGUUUUUGCACAGAGUUUGAUGUAUUGUGUUUUUGCACAGAGUUUGAUGUAUUGAAGAUCUGACAGUCAUGUUAUUGGUCAUGAGGAGCUGAAAUUGCUGUAAUUUUGUUCAGUAAUACAAUAUGCAUUGGAAGACAAUGAUGAAAACAAUUAUUGAUGUGACACAUAGUGGCAAUGAUGUGCAGUUCUUAAAAAUUAAGUGCAAGAUUUUGUCAGUGAGAUGGGGUGAUUGGGAAACAUUACUACAGUAUUUUAGCUACAGUGUAUCAUAACUGAUUAUUCAAAUUGUGAUAAUUCAGCCUGUCACCAGAUACUACAGUGUGUACACGUCCAUUCAUAUUGACUGCUGUAACUAUGCUGCCACUUGCCUUUGGUUACUGUAACAUGGUUCUCAAGUCUGAUUCCAUCUCGAUUCCCACUUACUGUGUAAUGCCAUGUUGCACACUUGCCAUGUAUGAAAGGACUUUAGGAACUUUUUGGCAUAUCACUUGUUAAUCAUGCAAGGCUUUACCCAAAAAGGCAGAUCAGCAUAUUAUUUGUGUAAUGGUUAUUUCAAAAGCAGUUUUGUUAUGCUUGUGGCUGUUGUAUUGCAUUAGUGUGCACCUUCUUUGCAUGUUUCAGGUGUGAGGCUACCUGGAGCUGACAAUGUGCAACUUUGAGGUUACCUAACAGCACUGAAUUUUAUUCAAUAUCGGCGUCGAGUUGUUGGUGCUCCUGUAAUAAAUACUGCUGUUGUUGUCAACAUUCUUAUAUUAUGUCUAUAUGAGCCAAACAAGGUGGAAUUUAAAGAGCAUAUGAGAAUACAGACCAAAUUGAGUGUCAUUUGAAAAGCAUGUAAUCUUCCACAGUAGUUUCAAAACUGCACUAAAAUAUUGUUGCAGUGUAAAAUAACAGUGACAUUAUAACAAGGAAAAUUAAUUAAACAGAAGUUUGAAGUGAUGAAAUAGCUUCACAUAUCAGAAAAUAAUGUAAUUGUGUUCAAAUUUAAGUCCUUGGCAUAAAAGAUUUUUUGAAAAAUAUGUGGAUACGAAGAAUCACAUAACAUCUCAAAUGUGGAAUUACUGGCACAUGGCAGAAAGAAAAUAAAAUAACUUGCUGUCAUGAUAAAGGCUUUUUAGGUCAUAACUUUUUUUUCCUGUGCUCGGCAAAAUCAAUGGACUUAUUCUUGACCUCAAAGAAGAUGAAUGAAAAAUGGUAAAUUGCAAACCUCAUGAUGAGAGAUGACUGUAACAGAUUGUAACUUUUAAGAAAAUUGCUACAGCCCGUGCAACACAUUUUAAUUGUAAGAAUUAAUGGAUGAAGAGAUGCUGAUUUGAGUAUUAUGUGAAAAAUUUAGGUUCAUUGGAGCACUUUUUAAGAAGAGGAAUUUGAUUACAAAAAGUUGAAGAACUGAGGUGUCCUUGAAGUUCGUAAAUCACUGUGUUUUCACAUGGCCUGUAUUUUUGGAAGGAGUAGAUGUAGUCUCUUUGAUAUUUUCUACUCUUUUAUUGCACUGCAGUUUGUUAUACUUAUUGAUGCACUCAAUGUUAGAAAGUAGUUAAUAUUCAUAUGAAUUUAUUUCCAGCAUGAAAAACAUAGCCUACUAUGGACCUGUUCACCUUACCUAAAAGAGGAAAAGGAGGAAAUGCCAUCAAGCAGGGGAUGUUGUAAAAUGAAGAUGCAGUGGGGGAGUGUCUUAGCUGUAGUUAUUGCACUACAGUAAAUGGUUUCCAAUGAACAAUGACGACAGAUGACCGGAAAAAUAUUAUUUGAAAUUCCAGAGUUCAAGGAAGUUCUGCAACAGUUCCCCAUUGCACAGUAACGUGUGGUAUACAUAUAUGAGGCAUGUGCUAGAAUUCUGAAAACGGAACACAUAGUGGAAUUGAUAACCUUGAUGUGGACGAUGCUGGAAGCCGAAGUGAAGAAACCAUCCCUGUAGCUCCUCACAUACCUGGUAACGAGUAUCCUAUCACUGGGAGAAGAUGAUGGAGCUUUGUUAAUGUGCUAGAAUAUAACCAUGAAUUGUUUGACAAAAUACGAACUGACUUUCUACUCAUGUUCCUACGGUUUACAGGAUUUAUUAAGUUAUGUGAGGUCUCUACCAGGUGGUACUACUGUGACGUCAGUGUCACAGAAAGACCGGGUGAUGCUGACAUCUUGAAUAGCAAACUUACUGAGUUCUCAAAGAGAUAUCCUGGAGAAGUUCUCUUCUGGAGAGAAGACAGAGACCACUUCCACGUCAUUCAUGACUGUGUCUAUUCCUCGAGGAGAUGCAGAUGUUGGUUCCAAAAUGAUGCAUUUAUUUCCUCCAGAAUUGAGAAGCUCCACAGACGGAAUAGAGCAAUUGCAGCAAUGUCGGAUAUCGACUGGCUCAAUGUACUGUUACCUCUAUGUGCAAAAGGGGUAUGGCCGCAGAAAAAUUUGGAUUAGAGGAGCCAUUAAAAGACUACCUUAUCCAGUUGAAAUUGUAUGAUGGGAAAGUUGCCUCUCAGGAUACCAAACAAUACUGGAAGGGGAAAGUAGUCGAUCUGAUGGUGACAGCGAACAGAGGCAUGCAAAUAAUGCACUAUGUAAACAGUCUUAUUUGAGAUGCAAACAGAUCAUUACAGGAAAAGGGUGCAACCCGACAACAAUAACGUGCCAGGUUCUUUCCGUACUAAUUCAGUACAGUUCUAUACCACCUGAGAACAUUACAAAUGUGCUUCCAAUUGAUCAUGGUUACUUCAUGAAUUUUAUUGAUCCUAAAUUUAAAAGAUUUUUCGAUAUGGGGUUAGAGUUAUACAAGAAAACCAUUAACGAUUUAGAUCUUAGGGGAAUUGAAUCACUUUUAUGUUCUGGAUCACAGGAUAGUAUAUUUUAUGCUACCUCUAACAAUGUAUGGGAAUGUUGUCAUACUUUGGGCGAUUCUUUAACCUGGUUAAACAAAAUUCUAUUAUUCCAAUGUGAAGAUGACAACGAUAAAGCUACAGAAUUUUUGUUAAAUUUAGUUUCAUGGUUCAAUAAGAAUGGAUAGUAUUAUUGGAAUAAUGAUAAUUAUGUACAGUCAAAAAAGUUAAACACUUUGUGUAUUGUGGGUCCUCCAAAUAGUGGUAAAAAUUGGUUCUUUGAUUGCUUUGUAUCUUUCGCUCUUAAUGUUCGUCAUAUAGGUAGAUGUAAUAACAAAACAAAUCAAUUCCCAAUGCAAGAUACUGUUAAUAGAAGAUUAAUUGUUGGCAAUGAAAUUAGUAUUGAAGAAGGAGCCUUAGAAGAUUUUAAAAAAGUGUGCGAGGGGAUUUCUUGUAACAUUGGAGUGAAGUAUAAAGGCGAUGCAAUUUUAAGGAGGACACCACUUUUAUUAAUUUCAAACAGUCAACCUGUAGUUUGCAGCCACACUGAUUUUAAGGAUAUUCGUGUGAAAACUGUAAGGGGGCGUAGAUUUGAAGAUUUGAAAAAUGCAACAGAAAAAGCCUUAUCCCUUAGCUUUUCUCAGCUUAUUACAAAUGUAUAAUGUGGAAUAUUAAAUGAAAACCAAUUGUAAUUGUGAAAUAGAUAUAUUUUCAAUAACUUGUUUACAAAGGUAAAUAAAAUAUUACAUUAUACAAAAUAAA